rnacentral:rRNA from 1 species
GAGUGAAGCGGGAAAAGCUCAAAUUUAAAAUCUGGCAGUUUUUGACUGUCCGAGUUGUAACCUAGAGAAGCGUUAUCCGUGCUGAAUCCAUGUACAAGUCUUCUGGAAUGAAGCAUCAUAGAGGGUGAGAAUCCUGUCUUUGACAUUGGGUUAUCAGGACAUUGUGAUAUGCUUUCAAAGAGUCGAGUUGUUUGGGAAUGCAACUCUAAAUGGGUGGUAAAUUCCAUCUAAAGCUAAAUAUUGGCGAGAGACCGAUAGCGAACAAGUACCGUGAGGGAAAGAUGAAAAGAACUUUGGAAAGAGAGUUAAACAGUAUGUGAAAUUGUUGAAAGGGAAACGCUUGAAGUCAGUCAUAUUGGCUAGAAAUCGCCCUUGCUUUUUGUGCUUGGUGUAUUUUCUGGUUGAUAGGUCAGCAUCAAUUUUGAUCAGUAGAAAAAAGUUGUGGGAAUGUAGCAUCUAAUGGUGUGUUUUAUAGCCCAUGACUGCAUAUACUGGUUGGGAUUGAGGUCAUUCAGCAUGCCUUUCAAAGGGUUGGGUUUUAAAACCACAUUCAUGCUUAGGAUGCUGGCAACAAUGGCUUUAAUCGACCCGUCUUGAAACACGGACCAAGGAGUCUAACAUGCCUGUGAGUGUUUGAGUGAUAAAACUCAAACGCGCAAUGAAAGUGAAAGUUGGGAUCCCUGUCAUGGGGAACACCGACACCCGGACCAACCUUUGUGACGGUUCCGCGGUAAACAAGUAUGUGGGACCCCCCCCCGGU